GUUGCUUGGAUCAGUCUAGGUGCAGCUGCCAGAUCCUUCAGCGUCCGCAUCUCGGCGUCGCCCAGCGUAGCGUCGCCCGGCUCUCCGCCGCUCUCCCGGGGGUUCGGGGCACUUGGUUCCCACAGUCUGGGUUCUCAGAGGCACUGUGACUGACUUCCCUGGAUUUGAUGAGCGGGCUGAUGCAGAAACUCUUCGGAAGGCCAUGAAAGGCCUGGGCACAGAUGAGGAGAGCAUCCUGACUCUGUUGACAUCCCGAAGUAACGCUCAGCGCCAGGAAAUCUCUGCAGCUUUUAAGACUCUGUUUGGCAGGGAUCUUCUGGAUGACCUGAAAUCAGAACUAACUGGAAAAUUUGAAAAAUUAAUUGUGGCUCUGAUGAAACCCUCUCGGCUUUAUGAUGCUUAUGAACUGAAACAUGCCUUGAAGGGAGCUGGAACAAAUGAAAAAGUACUGACAGAAAUUAUUGCUUCAAGGACACCUGAAGAACUAAGAGCCAUCAAACAAGUUUAUGAAGAAGAAUAUGGCUCAAGCCUGGAAGACGAUGUGGUGGGGGACACU
rnacentral:sRNA from 1 species